GACGAACGCUGGCGGCGUGCCUAAUACAUGCAAGUCGAGCGGACCGGAUUGGGGCUUGCCUUGAUUCGGUCAGCGGCGGACGGGUGAGUAACACGUGGGCAACCUGCCCGCAAGACCGGGAUAACUCCGGGAAACCGGAGCUAAUACCGGAUAACACCGAAGACCGCAUGGUCUUCGGUUGAAAGGCGGCCUUUGGGCUGUCACUUGCGGAUGGGCCCGCGGCGCAUUAGCUAGUUGGUGAGGUAACGGCUCACCAAGGCGGCGAUGCGUAGCCGGCCUGAGAGGGUGACCGGCCACACUGGGACUGAGACACGGCCCAGACUCCUACGGGAGGCAGCAGUAGGGAAUCUUCCGCAAUGGGCGAAAGCCUGACGGAGCGACGCCGCGUGAGCGAAGAAGGCCUUCGGGUCGUAAAGCUCUGUUGUGAGGGACGAAGGAGCGUCGUUCGAAGAGGGCGGCGCGGUGACGGUACCUCACGAGAAAGCCCCGGCUAACUACGUG
rnacentral:rRNA from 1 species